AGAUGAGGAUGAUGAUUUGAACUUGUUUCCCUAUUGGUUUGAUCGCCGGUAUGAUGGCGAAACUAUGUAUUAGCUCUAUCUGACUCAUCU